GAUGAACGCUGGCGGCGUGCCUAAUACAUGCAAGUAGAACGCUGAAGGAAGGAGCUUGCUCUUUCCGGAUGAGUUGCGAACGGGUGAGUAACGCGUAGGUAACCUGCCUGGUAGCGGGGGGUAACUAUUGGAAACGAUAUCUAAUACCGCAUAACAGUAGAUGUUGCAUGAUAUCUACUUAAAAGGUGCAAUUGCACCACUACCAGAUGGACCUGGGUUGUAUUAGCUAGUUGGUGAGGUAACGGCCCACCAAGGCGACGAACCAUAGCCGACCGGAGAGGAUGAUGACCAAACCGGGAACGGGACACGGGCCAGGACUCCUAGGGGAGGAGCAGGAGGGGAUUAUCGGCAAUGGGCGGAAGGCUGGACCAACAACGCCGGGUGGUGGGAGAAAGGUGUCGGAUCGUAAAACUCUGUUGUAAGGGAAGAAAGGGUGGGAGGGUGGAACCUUGCUGCUGUGACGGUAUCUUAAGAGUAAGCGACGGCUAACUACGUG
rnacentral:rRNA from 1 species